GGCCUCGUGGCCCAAUGGCAAGGCGUCUGACUACGAUCGGAUCGGGAUCAUCCCAAUCCGGCGCAAUCAGGAGAUUCUCGGUUCGACCCCGGGCGAGGUCA